AGUAGUUAUGAGUGUGUUCCCGAUAGGCUUCACAUACUUUGUGAAGGUGCCUUGUAACCAAAAAUAUUAGGGGGAAUGAAGAUG
rnacentral:sRNA from 2 species